rnacentral:misc_RNA from 1 species
UGGCUCUGGCAUCGAUGAAGAACGCAGCGAAAUGCGAUACGUAAUGCGAAUUGCAGAAUUCAGCGAGUCAUCGAAUCUUUGAACGCACAUUGCGCCCGCCAGCAUUCUGGCGGGCAUGCCUGUUCGAGCGUCAUUUCCCCCCUCAGCACGCCUUCGGCGCGCUGGCGUUGGGGCUCCUCCGCCCUCGUGGCGGCAGGGCCCUCAAAUCCAGUGGCGGGCCCGACUGGUGGUUCCGAGCGCAGUACCGAACGCAAGUUCUCUUCUCGCUCUGCAGCCCCGGCCGGUGCCCAGCCGUCAAACCUGCGAGUGGUGUUACAGCCGCUUGCUAUCUUUUAUAAGGUUGACCUCGAAUCAGGUAGGACUACCCGCUGA